rnacentral:rRNA from 1 species
AUUGGACGCUGGCGGCAGGCCUAACACAUGCAAGUCGAGCGGAUGAGAAGAGCUUGCUCUUCGAUUCAGCGGCGGACGGGUGAGUAAUGCCUGGGAAUCUGCCUGGUAGUGGGGGACAACGUUUCGAAAGGAACGCUAAUACCGCAUACGUCCUACGGGAGAAAGCAGGGGACCUUCGGGCCUUGCGCUAUCAGAUGAGCCUAGGUCGGAUUAGCUAGUUGGUGAGGUAAUGGCUCACCAAGGCGACGAUCCGUAACUGGUCUGAGAGGAUGAUCAGUCACGCUGGAACUGAGACACGGUCCAGACUCCUACGGGAGGCAGCAGUGGGGAAUAUUGGACAAUGGGCGAAAGCCUGAUCCAGCCAUGCCGCGUGUGUGAAGAAGGUCUUCGGAUUGUAAAGCACUUUAAGUUGGGAGGAAGGGCAGUAAGUUAAUACCUUGCUGUUUUGACGUUACCGACAGAAUAAGCACCGGCUAACUCUGUGCCAGCCGCCGCCGUAA